GAAGCUGACCAGACAGUCGCCGCUUCGUCGUCGUCCUUUCGGGGAGACGGGCGGAGGGGAGGAAAGUCCGGGCUCCAUAGGGCAGGGUGCCAGGUAACGCCUGGGGGGGAAACCCACGACCAGUGCAACAGAGAGCAAACCGCCGAUGGCCCACGUAAGUGGGAUCAGGUAAGGGUGAAAGGGUGCGGUAAGAGCGCACCGCGCGGCUGGUAACAGUCCGUGGCACGGUAAACUCCACCCGGAGCAAGGCCAAAUAGGGGUUCAUAAGGUACGGCCCGUACUGAACCCGGGUAGGCUGCUUGAGCCAGUGAGCGAUUGCUGGCCUAGAUGAAUGACUGUCCACGACAGAACCCGGCUUAUUGGUCAGUUUCACUU
rnacentral:RNase_P_RNA from 2 species